CGCGUAGAUAACCUGCCCUUAAGACAGGGAUAACACCUCGAAAGGGGUGCUAAUACCGGAUAAUACUUCGCACCACAAGGGGUGAAGUUAAAAGUUCCGGCGCUUGAGGAUGGGUCUGCGUCCCAUUAGCUGGUUGGUGAGGUAAUAGCUCACCAAGGCGACGAUGGGUAGCGGGUCUGAGAGGAUGAUCCGCCACACUGGCACUGAGAUACGGGCCAGACUCCUACGGGAGGCAGCAGUGGGGAAUAUUGCGCAAUGGGCGAAAGCCUGACGCAGCAAUGCCGCGUGAGUGAAGAAGCCCUUUGGGGCGUAAAGCUCUUUAUCUCCGUGAAGAUGAUGACGGUAGCGGAGGAAUAAGCACCGGCUAA
rnacentral:rRNA from 1 species